rnacentral:rRNA from 1 species
UACAGAGGGGGCAAGCGUUGUUCGGAAUUACUGGGCGUAAAGAGCUUGUAGGCGGUCUGUCGCGUCUGCUGUGAAAAUCCGGGGCUCAACCCCGGACUUGCAGUGGGUACGGGCAGACUAGAGUGUGGUAGGGGAGACUGGAAUUCCUGGUGUAGCGGUGAAAUGCGCAGAUAUCAGGAGGAACACCGAUGGCGAAGGCAGGUCUCUGGGCCACUACUGACGCUGAGAAGCGAAAGCAUGGGGAGCGAACAGG